GGGAGUCUAUUGGUAUUUUUUGUUUCUGUUAGUAAACAAAUAGCAAAUUUAGUACUGUGGUUAACUAUUUACAGAGAAUAGUAUAUAGUAUAUCUGGGUAGAAUACUAGAAGCAUGUAAAUCUCUGGAAAACAGAAGUACAUUAUGUGAGAACAGAAACUCUUAACACCUUUUCAACUUCAUUUUUCUAUUUAGAAAAUAAUAGGGUCUGAUUUUACAAAUAAUUAGGGCUUUGAUACAAAGAAAGCGUAUGUAGUUGUGAUGAGCGGGUUUUUUUUUUUCCUUCUGCAGAUAUCAGGAACAGUGAGCUAUCAAAAUCUGCAAGUAUUUUGAAUUCAGUGAUGGCACCAAAAACUAUAAUGAGAGGAACAAGGAGACUGUUACAGCAGUAUGAUCCUGAGAGCUCUCAUGGUGAAGAAAAAAUUCGACACAUUAGAUCAAAAAGAUGGAAAACAGGUAGGUAUUUAUGGACUAUAAAAUUUUAUAGAUAUACAUAAUAUUACCAGAAAUUGUUGUUUAUUUACAAAUAUGAGCCAAGUAAUAUUGUUUAAAUUUUGGUUAUAGUGUGUCACCCUCAAACUGCUGAAGUUCCGAUUACAGAAGGUGGAUAUUCACAUUCAAUUGGUGAAGCAUUCUAUCAAAGAAUCAGACAAGGAUUGACUACGGAAUAUGAAGAUUCUGGAGACAAUAUUUAUAAAUGUUCUUAUUGCGAUGCGUAUUUCUGGUUUGAAGAAGCUAUGAAACAAUCAUCUACAAAUGCAGAAAUUAUAUAUACAAAUUGUUGUAAAAAAGGACAAGUCAAACUUCCAAAGUUCAGACCAACUCCCAAUUUUCUUCAAACAUUAUUAGAUGACAAACUUUUUAAAGAAAAUAUUAGAGUAUAUAACUCAAUGUUUUGUUUUA